rnacentral:rRNA from 1 species
GACGAACGCUGGCGGCGUGCUUAACACAUGCAAGUCGAACGGAAAGGCCCGGCUUUGUUGCGCUCCUCUAGUUGCGACCUGGUAAGUAACCCGUGGGUACCCUGCCCUUGCCUUUGGGGUAUCUUCAUACAACUGGGGCUAAUCCCGGCAAGGAGUUCUUGCUUCUUGGUGGGGGUUCGAAGGUUUCGGCUGUUGGGGAUGGACUCGCGGCUUAUCAGGUUGUUGGUGGGGUAGUGGAUUACCAAGGCUUUGCCGGGUGGCCGGCCUGAGAGGGUGACCGGCCACAUUGGGACUGAGAUACGGCCCAGACUCCUACGGGAGGCAGCAGUGGGGAAUAGUGCACAAUGGGCGGAAGCCUGAUGCAGCAACGCCGCGUGCGGGAUGACGGCCUUCGGGUUGUAAACCGAUUUCGCCUGUGACGAAGCGUGAGUGACGGUAAUGGGUAAAGAAGCACCGGCUAACUACGUG